GACGAACGCUGGCGGCGUGCUUAACACAUGCAAGUCGAACGGAAAGGCCCUGCUUGCAGGGUACUCGAGUGGCGAACGGGUGAGUAACACGUGGGUGAUCUGCCCUGCACUUCGGGAUAAGCCUGGGAAACUGGGUCUAAUACCGGAUAGGAGCCAUUUUUAGUGUGAUGGUUGGAAAGUUUUUUCGGUGUAGGAUGAGCUCGCGGCCUAUCAGCUUGUUGGUGGGGUAAUGGCCUACCAAGGCGGCGACGGGUAGCCGGCCUGAGAGGGUGGACGGCCACAUUGGGACUGAGAUACGGCCCAGACUCCUACGGGAGGCAGCAGCGGGGAAUAUUGCACAAUGGGCGCAAGCCUGAUGCAGCGACGCCGCGUGGGGGAUGACGGCCUUCGGGUUGUAAACCCCUUUCGCUAGGGACGAAGCUUUUUGUGACGGUACCUAGAUAAGAAGCACCGGCUAACUACGUG
rnacentral:rRNA from 1 species